rnacentral:rRNA from 1 species
UAUGGCUCAGAUGAAACGCUGGCGGCAGGCCUAACACAUGCAAGUCGAACGGUAACAGGAAGCAGCUUGCUGCUUUGCUGACGAGUGGCGGACGGGUGAGUAAUGUCUGGGAAACUGCCUGAUGGAGGGGGAUAACUACUGGAAACGGUAGCUAAUACCGCAUAACGUCGCAAGACCAAAGAGGGGGACCUUAGGGCCUCUUGCCAUCGGAUGUGCCCAGAUGGGAUUAGCUAGUAGGUGGGGUAACGGCUCACCUAGGCGACGAUCCCUAGCUGGUCUGAGAGGAUGACCAGCCACACUGGAACUGAGACACGGUCCAGACUCCUACGGGAGGCAGCAGUGGGGAAUAUUGCACAAUGGGCGCAAGCCUGAUGCAGCCAUGCCGCGUGUAUGAAGAAGGCCUUCGGGUUGUAAAGUACUUUCAGCGGGGAGGAAGGGAGUAAGUUAAUACCUUUGCUCAUUGACGUUACCCGCAGAAGAAGCACCGGCUAACUCCGUGCCAGCAGCCGCGGUAAUACGGAGGGUACAAGCGUUAAUCGGGAUUACUGGGCGUAAAGCGCACGCAGGCGGUUUGUUAAGUCAGAUGUGAAAUCCCCGGGCUCAACCUGGGAACUGCAUCUGAUACUGGCAAGCUUGAGUCUCGUAGAGGGGGGUAGAAUUCCAGGUGUAGCGGUGAAAUGCGUAGAGAUCUGGAGGAAUACCGGUGGCGAAGGCGGCCCCCUGGACGAAGACUGACGCUCAGGUGCGAAAGCGUGGGGAGCAAACAGGAUUAGAUACCCUGGUAGUCCACGCCGUAAACGAUGUCGACUUGGAGGUUGUGCCCUUGAGGCGUGGCUUCCGGAGCUAACGCGUUAAGUCGACCGCCUGGGGAGUACGGCCGCAAGGUUAAAACUCAAAUGAAUUGACGGGGGCCCGCACAAGCGGUGGAGCAUGUGGUUUAAUUCGAUGCAACGCGAAGAACCUUACCUGGUCUUGACAUCCACGGAAGUUUUCAGAGAUGAGAAUGUGCCUUCGGGAACCGUGAGACAGGUGCUGCAUGGCUGUCGUCAGCUCGUGUUGUGAAAUGUUGGGUUAAGUCCCGCAACGAGCGCAACCCUUAUCCUUUGUUGCCAGCGGUCCGGCCGGGAACUCAAAGGAGACUGCCAGUGAUAAACUGGAGGAAGGUGGGGAUGACGUCAAGUCAUCAUGGCCCUUACGACCAGGGCUACACACGUGCUACAAUGGCGCAUACAAAGAGAAGCGACCUCGCGAGAGCAAGCGGACCUCAUAAAGUGCGUCGUAGUCCGGAUUGGAGUCUGCAACUCGACUCCAUGAAGUCGGAAUCGCUAGUAAUCGUGGAUCAGAAUGCCACGGUGAAUACGUUCCCGGGCCUUGUACACACCGCCCGUCACACCAUGGGAGUGGGUUGCAAAAGAAGUAGGUAGCUUAACCUUCGGGAGGGCGCUUACCACUUUGUGAUUCAUGACUGGGGUGAAGUCGUAACAAGG